AGGCAAAGCGUUGUCGUGGAUUGAAAUGAUCGAAUGUUAAUUCAUUUGUAUGUCAGGAUCAUGGCUGCACAAAGUGCAUUGUGCUCGGGUCGGCAGCAACACGUCCCGAACGGCAACUAACCAGUCGCAGCAACUGCAUCUCUAGCCAGCACAAUUGCGAUGCAAAUCAUACCUUCGGAUCAUCAUUCGUUUCUGUAUGUGACAUUUUAACUGUGGCCAUUACUUCGUCAACGCUGGAUUUGUCUUGGAACUCGUUCGCACCAGGCUUGACGCAAGAAUUCAUCUUUUGUAAGAAGCUUCUCAUGCUAACCUCAAAUUAUCCAUGUAAUAUGUUUCUAUUAUAUUAUCUACUACUCCGUGUUCACUUCGGUUCGCGGGUGCGCGACGCUUGCCCUGACCAACUGUCGUGUCACCGGGAGAAGGACGAGCUUAGCGACAAGCGCCUUUGUUUGUUCAUGAGUAUCUAUUAUGAGCAACGAAUACUAAAUUUUAAACACCUCGUAGGUACAUCAAGCCGUCAUGGCUGGUUCCAUGGGUCAGGGAGACCGGCAGGCACGCCGUACAACGGACUUACUCCACAUUUGAUAGCGCUACGGCUGCUGCAUUGCACGGACAAGACCGGAGCCGCCGGUGUACUGCCUCAGCGACUUCCAAUUUAAUAUUUCUGAUUUCGACUACCAAACGGAACGUGUAAGCGUU
rnacentral:lncRNA from 1 species